GUUGUAUGGUUAAGUGACUAAGCGUACACGGUGGAUGCCUUGGCAAUCAGAGGCGAAGAAGGACGUGCUAAUCUGCGAAAAGCUUGGAUGAGUUGAUAAGAAGCGUUUAAUCCAAGAUAUCCGAAUGGGGAAACCCAGUAGAUGAAGAAUCUACUAUUGUUAACUGAAUACAUAGGUUAACAAGGCAAACCGGGAGAACUGAAACAUCUAAGUACCCCGAGGAAAAGAAAUCAACCGAGAUUCCGUGAGUAGCGGCGAGCGAAAGUGGAAGAGCCAGUGAGUGAUAGCAGUAAAAUUAAGAGAAUGAGCUGGGAAGCUCAACCGUAGGGGGUGAUAGUCCCGUAUCUGAAAAUUUUAUUGUGGUACUAAGCUAACGAGAAGUAGGGCGGGACACGUGAUAUCCUGUUUGAAGAUGGGGGGACCAUCCUCCAAGGCUAAAUACUCCUGAUUGACCGAUAGUGAACCAGUACUGUGAAGGAAAGGCGAAAAGAACCCCAGUGAGGGGAGUGAAAUAGAACCUGAAACCGUGUACGUACAAGCAGUGGGAGCUCCGUCACUUAAUGAUUUUUAAUCAUUAAGUGACUUCGCAGGAGUCAGAUGACAGUGGUCAGAUAGCAGUGGAUAAUAAAACUGCCAUCUGAAACCUGUCAUCUGACACCUGAAACGGAGUCAGUUAAUGGCGAAAGCCAUUAAGUGACGGAGUGACUGCGUACCUUUUGUAUAAUGGGUCAGCGACUUAUAUUUUGUAGCGAGGUUAACUUAAAUCAGGUAGCCGAAGGGAAACCGAGUCUUAACUGGGCGGCUAGUUGCAAGGUAUAGACCCGAAACCCGGUGAUCUAGCCAUGGGCAGGUUGAAGGUUGGGUAACACUAACUGGAGGACCGAACCGACUAAUGUUGAAAAAUUAGCGGAUGACUUGUGGCUGGGGGUGAAAGGCCAAUCAAACCGGGAGAUAGCUGGUUCUCCCCGAAAUCUAUUUAGGUAGAGCCUUAUGUGAAUACCUUGGGGGGUAGAGCACUGUUUCGGCUAGGGGUCCAUCCCGGAUUACCAACCCGAUGCAAACUGCGAAUACCGAAGAGUAAUGCAUAGGAGACACACGGUGGGUGCUAACGUCCAUCGUGAAGAGGGAAACAACCCAGACCGCCAGCUAAGGUCCCAAAGUCUAUAUUAAGUGGGAAACGAAGUGGGAAGGCUUAGACAGCUAGGAUGUUGGCUUAGAAGCAGCCAUCAUUUAAAGAAAGCGUAAUAGCUCACUAGUCGAGUCGGCCUGCGCGGAAGAUGUAACGGGGCUAAAAUAUAGCACCGAAGCUGCGGCUUUCAGGGGUCAGAUUACAGGAGUCAGAUAACAGUAUGGUAAUGAAAUUUGAAGAUUUGCAAGUGUUUCAAAGAAGUUAUAAGAUUUCUUUAGAAUUGCAUAAGGCAAGUUUAGAUUUUCCAAAGCAUGAGCAAUAUGGUUUAGCAGACCAAAUAAGAAGGGCAAGCAAAAGUAUUUGUGCAAAUAUAGCAGAAGGUUUUGCGAGAAAACGCUCACAGGCUGAUUUUAAUCGUUUUAUCGGAAUGGCAAUAGGCAGUGCUGAUGAAAUGAGAGUAUGGUUAAGAUACUGUUUAGACUUAGGUUAUAUAGCGGAGCAACAAUGGCAAAGAUGGCGUAAUGAAUACGAAGAAAUUGCAAAAAUGUUGCAAGGUUUAGGUAAAAGGGUAGAUAAAACUGCCGUCUGAAACCUGUAAUCUGACCCCUGACAGGGUAGGGGAGCGUUGUGUAAGCGGAAGAAGGUGAAUCGAGAGGUUUGCUGGACGUAUCACAAGUGCGAAUGCUGACAUAAGUAACGAUAAAACGAGUGAAAAACUCGUUCGCCGGAAGACCAAGGGUUCCUGUCCAACGUUAAUCGGGGCAGGGUGAGUCGGCCCCUAAGGCGAGGCUGAAAAGCGUAGUCGAUGGGAAACGGGUUAAUAUUCCCGUACUUGGUAAAGCUGCGAUGUGGGGACGGAGUAGGUUAGGCAAGCAGCCUGUUGGAUGGCUGUUUAAGCGUGUAGGUGGAAAGUUUAGGCAAAUCCGGACUUUCUUAACACUAAGGCGUGAUGACGAUUUCCCAAGGGAAAGAAGUUGUUGAUACCACACUUCCAGGAAAAGCCACUAAGCUUCAGGCUUUACUAAACCGUACUGAAAACCGACACAGGUGGUCAGGUAGAGAAUACUCAGGCGCUUGAGAGAACUCGGGUGAAGGAACUAGGCAAAAUAGCACCGUAACUUCGGGAGAAGGUGCGCCGGCGUAGAUUGUAGUGAUUUACUCACGAAGGUUGAACCGGUCGAAGUGACCCGCUGGCUGCAACUGUUUAUUAAAAACACAGCACUCUGCAAACACGAAAGUGGACGUAUAGGGUGUGAUGCCUGCCCGGUGCUGGAAGGUUAAUUGAUGGUGUUACCCCUCACCUAGAUUUAUUUGUAAAAUCUAGGUAAAAAAAGACCGCACUUUAGAGUAAAUCUAGGUGAGGGGGAAGCUCCUGAUCGAAGCCCCAGUAAACGGCGGCCGUAACUAUAACGGUCCUAAGGUAGCGAAAUUCCUUGUCGGGUAAGUUCCGACCUGCACGAAUGGCAUAAUGAUGGCCAGGCUGUCUCCACCCGAGACUCAGUGAAAUUGAAAUCGCCGUGAAGAUGCGGUGUACCCGCGGCUAGACGGAAAGACCCCGUGAACCUUUACUAUAGCUUGACACUGAACCUUGAAUUUUGAUGUGUAGGAUAGGUGGGAGACUAAGAAGCAGGAACGCCAGUUCUUGUGGAGUCGUCCUUGAAAUACCACCCUUUAACGUUUGAUGUUCUAACGAAGUAUGUGAAACGCGUACUCGGACAGUGUCUGGUGGGUAGUUUGACUGGGGCGGUCUCCUCCCAAAGAGUAACGGAGGAGCACGAAGGUUUGCUAAUGACGGUCGGACAUCGUCAGGUUAGUGCAAUGGUAAAAGCAAGCUUAACUGCGAGACAGACAAGUCGAGCAGGUACGAAAGUAGGUCAUAGUGAUCCGGUGGUUCUGAAUGGAAGGGCCAUCGCUCAACGGAUAAAAGGUACUCCGGGGAUAACAGGCUGAUACCGCCCAAGAGUUCAUAUCGACGGCGGUGUUUGGCACCUCGAUGUCGGCUCAUCACAUCCUGGGGCUGAAGUAGGUCCCAAGGGUAUGGCUGUUCGCCAUUUAAAGUGGUACGCGAGCUGGGUUUAGAACGUCGUGAGACAGUUCGGUCCCUAUCUGCCGUGGGCGUAGGAUGAUUGAGUGGGGCUGCUCCUAGUACGAGAGGACCGGAGUGGACGCAUCACUGGUGUACCAGUUGUUUCGCCAGAAGCAUUGCUGGGUAGCUAAAUGCGGAAGAGAUAAGUGCUGAAAGCAUCUAAGCACGAAACUUGCCAUAAGAUGAGUCAUCCCACACUUAAAGUGUGUAAGGGUUGUUUAAGACGAAGACGUAGAUAGGCUGGGUGUGUAAGCGGUGCGAGCCGUUGAGCUAACCAGUACUAAUUGCCCGAGCGGCUUAACCAUACAACCU
rnacentral:rRNA from 1 species